GUAAGGAAUAUUGGUCAAUGGGGGCAACCCUGAACCAGCCAUGCCGCGUGAAGGAUGAAGGCGUUAUGCGUUGUAAACUUCUUUUGUAUGGGAAGAAUGACAGGGAUUUAUCCUUGGAGAGACGGUACCAUACGAAUAAGCACCGGCUAACUACGUGCCAGCAGCCGCGGUAAUACGUAGGGUGCGAGCGUUAAUCGGAAUUACUGGGCGUAAAGCGUGCGCAGGCGGCUAUGCAAGACAGAUGUGAAAUCCCCGGGCUCAACCUGGGAACUGCCUCCAAAACUGCAUGACUAGAGUACGGUAGAGGGUAGUGGAAUUUCCUGUGUAGCGGUGAAAUGCGUAGAUAUAGGAAGGAACACCAGUGGCGAAGGCGACUACCUGGACUGAUACUGACACUGAGGUGCGAAAGCGUGGGGAGCAAACAGGAUUAGAAACCCUUGUAGUCC
rnacentral:rRNA from 1 species